rnacentral:tRNA from 1 species
GGGUGCGUAGCUCAGAGGUAGAGCAUCGGGCUUUUAACCUGGUGGUCGUAGGUUCAAGUCCUGCCGCACCUA